UGCCCUUGUAGCUCAAUUGGAUAGAGCAACGGUCUUCUAUACCGUUUGUUGGGGGUUCGAAUCCCUCCAAGGGCGU
rnacentral:tRNA from 1 species